CUUCUGAAGUAUGAGAUGGUAGAAAGAUGAUGGUCCACAUGUUCCUUCUAAUGAAGAGAAUCGCUGAUGAUAUACCAGCUGUUUCAGGAGCCACCAAGCACCAAGUACCAGCUGGGACCAUCUACAUCACCUUCAUUGCUCGUACAACCAGGGCAACCAACACAGCUCAGCAAAUACAACCAUGUGCUUCUUUGUACUGUGAGAGGGUCCUUGCUAAUGACUCAGCCUCUUAGAUUAUCAGAGGGCCCUGGAAGGUCACUGUCCUUCUCUGGGAGGCAAAAGAGCAGGGGAAAAUAUCAGGAAGUAGCCCACUAUCUACUAGAAACUCAAGAGGCAAGAAAAGUAAAAUACCACAGGAAAUAAUAUGAUUUUGACUGCUACAUAGAUGAAAGCAGACGAACAACAGGAUUAUUUAUAAAAGAUAAAAGUGUCCAUACAGGUAAGUGAAAACACUAAUAAUAUUUUUAGGUACAAAUUACAUGUCAAGUUAACAAAGUGGAAAAAUACAGAAAAUAGAUAAAUUAUUCUUUAAAAGAAGACUUUAAGAAAAAGCAUUGCUCUUUAGUGAGUCACUUAAGCCAGAGAAAUUUGAAAGCUGUGUGAUACAAAUUCUAUCUACAGUUAAUAUAACACUGCACACAUUUGUUAGGAGGGUAGGUAUUGCAUUAUCAAUUACAAAGUUAAAGAAAUAUACAUGUUUACAGUCAUUGUAGUUCAAAUAAUCUAAUCAAAUGUAUACCUAAGAGAAUGUUAAAACAAUCACCAUCUUGUUGUAUAGACAUGUACUUAAAAAAAUGAUACCAUAAAAAUUAGUAAAAGAAAGUAGGGGAGAACAAAACUAAUGAAGAUGAUUCUUAGAAUCUAGUCUUCACUUUGAUUAAAAGCCCAAGUAAAUGCAGGUUUCACUAGACACGUUUCUCCUCUCCGUUUUCCCUUCUCCUUUCUCCUCUACUCAGUUCUCACAAUGUUUUGGACAGCAGCAGCACUCCUGACUCUCUUUGUGUGAACAAGGGCAUGCUGUAGUUCUGACUCAUAGGCUAAACUUUGGGCGAUGAAAACAGAAAUUCUGGCUGCAGUUUCUUUUCCAAGAUUCAUAUUCCAGUGAAACUUUUGUACAUGUGACCAGGAAGCACAUGCAUGAAUGUUCAGAGGAGCUUUGUUUAUAGAAGCAGAAAUGCCAAAUAUCUACUGAUAGGAGAAAAGAGAAAUGAAUUUUGGCAUAUUUAUUCAACAAGCUACAAGCUAUCAACGGCAAUGACCCUGACUGAAACCUCCUAGGUAAAUCUGGCAUAAUAAUGUCUAACAGGCCUAGCUUGUUAGAGGAUGCAUUUAAUUUUGAUGUAUAAAUUUCCAAAGAAAGCAACACUAUUGUUAAAGAGUAUAUGUUAUUAACAUUUAAGAGAAUAAUACAUCCUAAAUUUAGGACAAUGUUAAGCUUUGAGGUAUUGCUGGAGGGGAUGAUCUGAAGAGGAAAGAAAUAUCAUGACACACCAACCACAUGUUAGGUAGAAUUUUAGGGCAAUGAACAUAGCUGACCAACGUUUCAUGACCUUGAAUUCUAGCAGUCUUAGUGUAAUGGUGUUAAUACCACUGUGGGUUCUAUAA